AGUGCAGGUCAGGGUCACCCUCCACUUCUGGCUACGGAUCAGAAGGUUAGGGGUUCGAGUCCCUUCGGGC
rnacentral:tRNA from 1 species